UAAAGGGAAUACAACGGUGUGAGUAAAUAUGGGAAUAUUACAGGAAUAACAGUCAAACAUGAAACAAACCAGAAGGUAAUGAACAGAAUAUGCAAUAAGACAAAAUCAGUAUAAUAGGCUGGAUGGAAUUUCAGUUUGGUAUUGUGGAUGGAAGAGAAUGAGGGAACGAAUGGUCAUAAAUUAUGUUGCAAAUUUUAAAUAAACUAGGGGUUUCUUAACUAAAGAUGAGGACCAACUAUAGGACACCAACGAGUCACAGAAUGUGAUUUGUUUAUGCCUUAUUGUUGUCAUAAUUCCCCGUGGCAAAGGCUCACUGCCGGUUUUGGCUUGUUGUUGUUGUCCGGGCCCGGCUGGGUUGGCACCCCAGCGGCGUCUCGAGCUGGUUUUAAACCGGUGGAUUUGUUCCAGAGUCCUAUGCGGGAAAACGCUUGCACCAACGGGCAAGACGGUCAGCCCUGGCUUUGCGCUCUGAGUUCGUUUGGUGUCGCUAUAGCUCAGCGGAACACACUCCAGACUCUGUCGUUGGAGCCGUGACUUCGUUCAACCCGAGUCUUCAGUGUGCUUCAUAUUGGCCCUCUGGCUGCAUUCCCUCUGUUGUGAUGGGACGGGAUCGUGUGUUUUGCUGGGAGAUGCCCUCAGACUUUUCCACCUUCCUUCAUCUGCUGUGCCUGCAUGCCUGCCUCCCUGCCAGUCUGUCUGCCUACAUAAAAGCAGUGAUGCAUCAAUAAACCAGUAAAAGUGUA